GCCAAUUGGUAUUUGAAGUAGACUGUAGACAUAUAUACAACAAUAGAUUCAUUAGGCAUAUGAUAUGCAUUCAUCGCCUUGCCCCCUCUGUCAUUUCAUCCCUUUUAAUCGGUUAUCCAGAAAAAAUAUUGUCAGGGAGAAGAACAAAUCUUAGUGAGCGAGCUGGAGAAGGACAAAUCUUAGAGGGCUAGUCGAAGAAGAACGAAUCUUAGUGAGCAAAUCUCCCUCCGCAUCGCGCCAGGAGGCAUUUGAAGUAGACAUACAUACAGCAAUAGAUUCAUAGGCAUAUAUAGUAUGCGUUCAUCGCCUUGCCCCUUCUGUCGUCUCACGUUCCCCGCCUCUCAACUUCAGAGAAAUCAAACGGAGGCAUGCGAAUGAUCACUUGGAGGAGGAGGAACUCAGAAGGGACAUGGAGUUAGCCCGGGAAAUUGCUAUUGCCCCAACUAGCCCACCCAAAACCCUGAAUAAUCCAGUGGAGCAUGGCAUGUUAUUUGAAACAAGCUCUGGAAAAACUUAUGAAAGAAGCAGCUCAAGGUCUGAUGAGAGUAGUAAUUGCAGUGGAAAAAUGUCCAUUGAUGAAAAGGUUUCUCACUUAGCUCGUUUACAAAUUAGGAGCACCUUCUACAGAGUUGAAGAUGGUUUGAUGGCCUUGUUGAGAAACUGCUUGGAAUCAGAACUAGGAAACUCAACCUGUAUAUUGUCUGGCUCUGUUAUUCAUUUUCAAAGCAUUGAAUCAGAGGAUGUUGGGUGGGGUUGUGGUUGGCGUAAUAUCCAAAUGCUCAGCUCUCACUUGGUUAUGCAAAGACAAGAAGCAAGGCAAGUUUUGUUUGGUGGUUCAGGAUUCAUUCCUGAUAUACCAUCACUCCAAAGAUGGCUUGAGAUUGCUUGGGAAAGAGAUUUCGAUACAGUUGGCUCGCAGCAUUUCAAUCACAAAAUAUAUGGCACAACAAAUUGGAUUGGAACCACUGAAUGUGCUGCACUAUUUCGUUCUUUUGGGCUGCGGGCAAGGAUAGUGGAUUUUGGUCCUAAGGAAAUUAAAUCACCAUAUCCUCAAAAAAAUAGUCAGGGCAAGAGGAAAGCAGAUGAAGUUUGUGGACCAAUUGACAAAUUUCUACUUCGAAGGGAACCAAGGGAUCAAGAUAUUUCCCAACCAGGUUCCAGCAGGCAUGAUUCGUGUAACUUGGCAGACAGUACAGAGUCUGAUAAAUGUUUCACAAGGAAUGAUAAAGGUCGUCAAGUUCUUGUUGAUUGGGUAUGGAAUUAUUUCUCUGACAAUAAGUUCACCAAAUCAGGCAGCAAUGAUGUUAUUGUCACUGACAAAGCGCCCUUGUACUUUCAGCAUGAUGGCCAUUCGAGAACCAUUGUUGGAAUUCAAGUCAAACAUCAGCUCAAUGGGAUGAAUCAAUACAACCUAUUAAUUUUGGACCCUACUCAUAAAACAGCAGCUCUGGAAAGAUCACUUAAAGAAAAUGUUGGAUGGCAGAAGUUUAUUAAAAGAGGGGUUCACACACUGAAAAAGCUGCAAUACCAGUUAUGUCAUAUUGAUCCUGGCAUUGCCCAUGCUGAGGAGUUGGAGCAGCUCAAGACCUUGGACAGCAUUUUUCUUGAAUUCUAGAUGAAUAUCUUGAACUACUGUGAUUGUCUUAGAUUCAGAAGCAAGGGCAACAAGUUCACAAUGUGCAGUAGCAGAGCCACUUGAAAAUCCUUUGGCAAACUUGGCUUGAAUCAGGCCACCAAUGAAGUGGCAAGGCAUCACAGCCCAAGCUACCAGACCCAUUCGCCAGUUAAGUUUCAUGGUUACUAUUGUUGCAAUCAGUAUGGAGGAGAUACAUUGGACGAUAACAGACAUACGAUCCGAGAUUAUGGUUUUGACCGUUGAGGUAUCAUUGAUGAUCCGUGAGGUAAGUGAGCCAACAUUAUUCUCAGGUUUCUCGAACCACGCUAAUUCAUUGUUUAGUAUGCCUGAAAGAAUUUAAGAAAAGGUGUCGGUUUAUGCUUUUAUAGUUCUGAAUUUCUGAUGGAAACUCAAACAUUCACUAAACCAAUAACCUCCUAAAGUUGAUGAAGUAAAUGAUGUGAAUUCAUGAUUAGAGUAGCAAAUACCUGAAUACAGGGCUUGUCUGAGGUUAGUCAUGGCCUUCUCUCCAAUUACUCCAAAGAAGUAAUGCUGCAAGGUGUGAGUGAAUAAUGAAAGCAGCCCUAUUAGAGAGAAGGCGAUUGAAUACAAUCCAACUCGUUGCUUUGCGUCUUCCUUGUAAUAGGCUACUCCUAUUGUUAUGAUGAAGUAUCCAAAAAAGGGCUUUGAGAUGCCAGAAACAGCUGCUGCAAAUGAGCCAAUAGCAGUCUUUAUAAGCUCACUUUUCUUCAAGCCAAACCAGAUUCUGAAAAACUGAACUCUUUUCCCUCUAACCCUCUGUUCCUCUUCCUUCAAAGCAUCUCUAGGAUGUUUGUUGGGUUCCUCAGAUUGGUCCAGGUCUUGAAAUGAAAUCUCUUGGUCUGUACUUGCAUUUUCUUCAGUAAGAUCUGUAACUCUGUCAUUCAUUCAAUUUAACUUAGUUAAUUAAUGUCCUUUUCUGUUUACCAUGAUUGUGCGAAGAAGGGAGGCUGUGCACCAACCUUGAGCCUUGGUCUGGACAGAGGUUCUGCAUGUUAAAUAAAUUAUUAUAGAAAUUGCUGGUAUCUAGCAAGUCGCUGUGUGUUCCCGUCUCUUUAACUUGGCCAUUCUCUAUGACUGCAAUCAUAUCUGCAUUAAUCACAGUUGACAUCCUGUGUGCAAUCAAGAUGACUGUUCUCCCCUGCAUAGCUUUCUCAAUGGCAUCUUGAACCAGCUUCUCUGACUCUGAAUCAAGUGCACUUGUGGCCUCAUCAAGUAAAAGAAUUGGAGGAUUCUUUAUAAUGGCUCUUGCUAUUGCUAUUCUCUGUUUUUGUCCACCUGAUAAUUGCACUCCUCUUUCUCCUACCUGAAGCCCAUUUUAGCCACAACGAGUUAGCCACAAUGAGAAUAUGUUUAUCGAAAAGAAACAUUACAAAGAUUGAUAUAUCAAACCAUUCUACACAUUACUAUCAUAGAUGAGUGUAUGAAGGAUUAGAAGUUGGGUUUUUUCUUUAUAGUCUGCAAGUAAAACUAGUAGUCUCUGUCAUUGUAUGCGUGCAUGUGUUUUUCUAUGUGGGUUUGGAGGUUGUUGGGUAUAGUUAGCUGACCUCUGUUGAGUACUGAUCUGGGAGUUGGGUUAUGAAAGAGUGUGCAUUUGCCAUCAAUGCUACAUUCUGGACUUCUUGAUCAUCUGCUUCCAUGCUUCCUACUUUAAUGUUAUCCUUGAUGGUGCCAGAAAAGAGCGAUGGCUCUUGAAAUACUGCUCCUGUGUUCUUUCGGAGGAACUUCAAGUCUAGAUCCUUAAUGUUGUAGUUGUCAAUGAGAAUCUCACCUGGAGGGAUGCUCACUUCAUUAGGCUUCAGGCGAAUUCAGAUCUUAUACAUUCACAUGUUUGUGCUGCAUUCUGGUCCUUUACUCUUGCAUGCUUGUUUUCAUAUCCACAAUCAUAUAUGACAUUCAUGCAUAUGUAAUAUUGGUACUUGUAUGACAAGCAUGUGAAAGUAUGUAAAUGCAAUGAUCAAUUAGUUUGCAUUAAUUGUAUAGAAACUUUCAACAAAAAGACUUGGAACCUUAGAGGUCUGGGACCGAGCUGCAAACCUUGUGAUGGAUCAUAGAAUCUCGCAACUAGGGAGAUGACAGUGCUCUUCCCACACCCACUACUACCCACUAAAGCCACCACCUUUCCUGCUGGGAUGGAAAGUGAAAAUCCGUCGAGGAUUAAUCUCUCUUUCCGGGAUGGGUAGGUGAAGUAUACAUCCUGCAUGUCAAUAUUGCCAUUGAUCUUCUCGAGUGUUUUCCCUUCGGAAUCAUAGCUUAUGGCAGGUUUUCUUUUGAUCACCUGAAAAACCUCAUUUCCUGCAGCCUUUGCACUAUUAAAGAUUUGAAUGUCUGGUGCAGCAUAAGUGAGUGAUCUGCAAUCAGAAAAAGAACAAACAGGGCUCAAAUUAAUAUCUGAAGGAAUACAUGUUUUCAGCUCAAGACCAGGAUUGAGUUGUUGAGACUGCUUCUUUCUUACAUAGCUCCAAAGAGAAUGCUCAUCACUGCCGCUAUGAUGUCUCCUCCACUUGAUCUCUUGGCUGUGACAACAAUGGCUCCAACCCAAAUGAUCAGAGCCCAGCAACAGCUGAAAUGGCAUUCAUCUUCUUGCUAUAAGUGGCUCCAGUCACAAGAACCAAAGGAACAACCAACAAGGUGAGCAGUGAAACUUCCCAACAGCAAAUGGCAGCGAUCAAUAUUCCAGAGAAGCACGUUGCGAUAUUUGAUAGAAAAUGGCCCAACUGUCAGCGAAAAAGCUUGUUAGUUUUCUCAAACCUUUUGGCUGUGAUUUUUAUUUGAAAGCUUGCUUGUGUACUUUGCAUGGUAGCAGCAUAAGAUUGAGUUGAGUUGAGGCAACAUACCUUCUCCCCUAUAGCAUCUUGUAUGAUACUCAUGUGGCUGCUUAUUCCACUGAUGAUUUUUCCA